rnacentral:sRNA from 1 species
GGCAGCAGCCGGCCGGGCCUGGGAACGUGGCUGGUUGGAGGAGGUGGAUCACCGUUUCUGCGGUGGACGAUUUCGUCGGUGGUAGGCUGCUACCAUGAGGUUGAAUCAGAACACCUUGCUGCUGGGGAAGAAGGUGGUCCUUGUACCCUACACCUCGGAGCAUGUGCCCAGGUACCACGAGUGGAUGAAAUCAGAGGAGCUGCAGCGUUUGACAGCCUCAGAGCCGCUGACCCUGGAGCAGGAGUAUGCCAUGCAGCGCAGCUGGCGGGAAGAUGCAGACAGUGAGGAGUGCCCCCCACUCCCCCUAGCCCUGGUACUGGGAGGGCUGACUCCACAGUCAGUCUCCAGGUUCCUUCCCUUUCCCAGCCCUGGCCACAGAAACUUUGUGAAAAGCCUGGAAGGUGCUGGAACUCCUGUAUUCUCAUGGCCCUGAAGCCAGUCCCUGUGGCUGACCCUUCUGUCCUCUUCCCCACCCAUUGCAUCGGGCUUGGAAGGAUUUGGAGAAAGUAGAGCAUUUGGGGCUCUGGCUGUAAAUUGAGGCCCUGCCCCUCACAUCCCUCACCACAGCCUAGUGUGGUGACUGUCCUCCUCUGUGUUCCCUGCUCAAUGAGAAUUUGGUUGCUGGUUGGAGAAGCUUUUUCUGUAUGAGGCAGAUUUGGAGUUUUGUAAUGAGCUGAAGGAAGCUCUGGGACCCCCUCUUCUCCUGGCAGACUCAGAGAUGCUGGUAUUCUGCAGUGCUCUGGCUUGGGUAGGAGUACCAUCCUCUCUUUUCUCCUCUGGGGAGUGUGUGUGAUAGCCCUGUCACCUCCUCCUCAGAGUGUACCUUCAUUGUGCUGGAUGCCGAGAAGUGGCAGGCCCAGCC